GAAGAAGCACAUGCUACCCUGACAGUACGAGGAACCAGGCAUGCAGAGCUGUGGAUGCCAUGGUUCUUAUACAUCUCCCGUUACAGUUGUGAUGGAGACGCACCAGGAAACACGGCAGGGGUACCAACUGACGCAAGCCUUAUGGGAGGAAUCACACCCCACAUAUCCUGAUUGCCCAUUACCCCCUGCUCCUAACCCUUUUCUUACCCCCCCCCCACCAGACUACUGGGGCCUGGGGGAACCAGGAUCGAGGCCAGACGGGCCGAUUAUGAGAAAGACAAAUAGCAUAAUAAACUAGGAGAGUAAUAAGGAUAAACAAAACGAGAAAUAGAAGAUGGAAAAUGACAAAAUACAAUGAUACCUGAUCAGUGGCACAGUGAUCCAGGACACUCUGUG